GACGAACGCUGGCGGCGUGCCUAACACAUGCAAGUCGAGCGAUGAAAUUAGAAACGGAGUCUUCGGACGCAGUGGAAAAUGGAUUAGCGGCGGACGGGUUAGUAACACGCGAGCAACCUGCCUAUCACAUCGGGAUAGCCUCGGGAAACUGGGAUUAAUACCGAAUGAAACAUAAUCACUGCCUAGUGGAAAUGUAAAAGAUUUAUCGGUGAUAGAUGGGCUCGCGUCUGAUUGGCGAGUUGGUGUGGUAAUGGCUCACCAAGGCGACGAUCAGUAGCCGGCCUGAGAGGGUGAACGGCCACAUUGGGACUGAGACACGGCCCAAGCUCCUACGGGAGGCAGCAGUAGGGAAUCUUCCGCAAUGGACGAAAGUCUGACGGAGCAACGCCGCGUGAGUGAUGAAGGCUUUCGGGUCGUAAAACUCUGUUGUUAGGGAAGAACAAGUGCUAGUUGAAUAAGCUGGCACCUUGACGGUACCUAACCAGAAAGCCACGGCUAACUACGUGCCAGCCGCCGCGGUAA
rnacentral:rRNA from 1 species